AGUCAUCAACCCUGACGGUUUUGCUACCGACCGGGUUGGAGCUGGGGGACUUUGCCGGCCGCACGGUCGGCUCCCCUCAAAUGCUUCGGUUGGGCCUGCGGGUCGAACGUUUCGGGCGUUGUACCAUCCUCGCUGCGAGACGACGGACCCGCUGAACCGUGCCCCUCCUCGACCUUGCCCGACUGGUUUCGGGCGGUCAAACAAACUUUGAA
rnacentral:misc_RNA from 1 species